rnacentral:rRNA from 1 species
GAUGAACGCUGGCGGCGUGCCUAAUACAUGCAAGUCGAACGAAACUUCUUUAUCACCGAGUGCUUGCACUCACCGAUAAAGAGUUGAGUGGCGAACGGGUGAGUAACACGUGGGCAACCUGCCCAAAAGAGGGGGAUAACACUUGGAAACAGGUGCUAAUACCGCAUAACCAUAGUUACCGCAUGGUAACUAUGUAAAAGGUGGCUAUACUACCGCUUUUGGAUGGGCCCGCGGCGCAUUAGCUAGUUGGUAGGGUAAAGGCUUACCAAGGCAAUGAUGCGUAGCCGAAUUGAGAGGUUGAUCGGCCACAUUGGGACUGAGACACGGCCCAAACUCCUACGGGAGGCAGCAGUAGGGAAUCUUCCACAAUGGGCGAAAGCCUGAUGGAGCAACGCCGCGUGGGUGAAGAAGGUCUUCGGAUCGUAAAACCCUGUUGUUAGAGAAGAAAGUGCGUGAGAGUAACUGUUCACGUUUCGACGGUAUCUAACCGGAAAGCCACGGCUAACUACGC